GAUGAACGCUGGCGGCGUGCCUAAUACAUGCAAGUCGAGCGAACGGACGAGAAGCUUGCUUUUCUGAUGUUAGCGGCGGACGGGUGAGUAACACGUGGAUAACCUACCUAUAAGACUGGGAUAACUUCGGGAAACCGGAGCUAAUACCGGAUAAUAUUUUGAACCGCAUGGUUCAAAAGUGAAAGACGGUCUUGCUGUCACUUAUAGAUGGAUCCGCGCUGCAUUAGCUAGUUGGUAAGGUAACGGCUUACCAAGGGAACGAGGCAUAGCCGACCUGAGGGGGUGAUCGGCCACACGGGAACUGAGACACGGUCCAAACUCCUACGGGAGGCAGCAGUAGGGAAUCUUCCGCAAUGGGCGAAAGCCUGACGGAGCAACGCCGCGUGAGUGAUGAAGGUCUUCGGAUCGUAAAACUCUGUUAUUAGGGAAGAACAUAUGUGUAAGUAACUGUGCACAUCUUGACGGUACCUAAUCAGAAAGCCACGGCUAACUACGUG
rnacentral:rRNA from 1 species